CCUACGGGAGGCAGCAGUGAGGAAUAUUGGUCAAUGGACGAGAGUCUGAACCAGCCAAGUAGCGUGAAGGAUGACUGCCCUAUGGGUUGUAAACUUCUUUUAUAUGGGAAUAACAUGUUCCACGUGUGGGAUUUUGUAUGUACCAUAUGAAUACGGAUCGGCUAACUCCGUGCCCGCAGCCGCGGUAAUACGGAGGAUCCGAGCGUUAUCCGGAUUUAUUGGGUUUAAAGGGUGCGUAGGUGGAUUGUUAAGUCAGUUGUGAAAUUUUGCGGCUCAACCGUAAAAUUGCAGUUGAAACUGGCAGUCUUGAGUACAGUAGAGGUGGGCGGAAUUCGUGGUGUAGCGGUGAAAUGCUUAGAUAUCACGAAGAACUCCGAUUGCGAAGGCAGCUCACUGGACUGCAACUGACACUGAGGCUCGAAAGUGUGGGUAUCAAACAGGAUUAGAUACCCUUGUAGUC
rnacentral:rRNA from 1 species